UACGUAGGGUGCGAGCGUUAAUCGGAAUUACUGGGCGUAAAGCGUGCGCAGGCGGUUCGUUGUGUCGGUGGUGAAAGCCCCGGGCUUAACCUGGGAAUGGCCAUGGAAACUGGCGAACUGGAGUGUGGCAGAGGGGGGUGGAAUUCCGGGUGUAGCGGUGGAAUGCGUAGAGAUCCGGAAGAACACCGGUGGCGAAGGCGGCCUGCUGGGCAGUAGCUGACACUGAGGCGCGACAGCGUGGGGAGCAAACAGG
rnacentral:rRNA from 1 species